GAAUGUAGUAACCCCUUCCGCCGAGCCACGCCUCGAAAAUUAGCUGGGUCUUCGGACCUGACGAUUUGGGGAAGAGUCUCGCAUGCGAAGGCCAUCCUUUCAAAAAUUUUUGAACGAGUGAUGUGCAAGUAUGUGCAAAAUAAUCGUGUCUACGCGUCAUAGAUCUCAAAGAAACUUACAAGCAAUCCAAACGAGGUACAGAAGAUGAAACGGAGACGAAAGCAAUUGCAAUAGCCUUGAAGCGUUGGGAGGGAGCUGAAUCGACUGUUAUCUGAAUUGUAAUUACUUUCUGAGAAGAUAGGAGAAUUUCAAUUAUGCUCUCCUUGAUAAUUUAACAUUCGACAACAGAAGUGAAACAUAUUCACAUUGUACUUCCUGUUCUUCCUUACAUCCGACGAAACUUCCUAUAUGGAUAAUGUCAAUGUCCGAUCAUCAACCAGAUAACGAAACGAGAACAUUUUUCUCUUUAAUCUUAUAUUUAAAUAGUCAAUCAACCAAUGCUGUGUUUAUCGAAUUUUACUGAAUUUUCAUACAGAUUUUAUGAUGGCGACCGAAGUAUUACUAUUGAUGAGACGGACCUUAUGUCUCUUAACUAUAGCUAUCCCUAAGGUAUUGUAUUAGUUUAUAUAAAUCAAGAAUCCAUAUAUCUUUCAAGUAGUGUAAUCAAGAAUAUUAGUUAUGGGAAACAAGAUGCUAGACGAAGGAGAGCAGAUCGUAAAAGCGGCGGAAGAAGCUGAUGCUGCUCACGAAUUUAUUACAAAUCUUGGAAAUAAUGUGAAAUCCAUGUUGGUGAGAGUGGAAGCUAAUUAUAUGGUGUCUGAGAACAAUGUUGCUAAUGCUACAGCAUUAUUAUAGCAACAAUCGACUUCAAUAUUAAAUUUUAAUAAACGAGAAGAUGAGUUCAACAAGCAGUUGGAAAUCAUAACCAAAGGAGGAACAUCGUUAACUAUUGCACUUGUGUGCAUGUUGUGAUUGGGACUAUCUAGGAGAAGGGAAAAGAAGAAAAAAUAUUUGUGUUUUUCCGACAUAGUUUUGAAAGACCAAUAUGGCGCUAUUUUAUAAAGCUUGAAACGGUGGUACGAGGAAAUGGGUGGGAUUUAGCGUUUUCAAAAGAACCAAACGUGAGGGGUUUUAGGUGGAGGGUAUAUGCGAUUGUGCUCAGAAAGAUGUGUAGAAGGGUCGUACGAAGUUCGACGCGGGGCAAGGAUCAAAGGGGAAUUGAAAUGAAACUGAGGGAGAUACAUCACAUAAAACAAAUUAUCAUGGAGGGUUGAUGAAAAGAUUCACCAUUUGUGGAAGAAAUAACGUUAGCAGGGGAAUACUGUUAAAUUAUACGGGAAAUGGAAAAUCCACGUUUACGUCACCGUCAUUCCAACAAUUUAAAUUAGGUAACCCUUCGAUAUAAUUAAAAAAGGAGACAUGCUGAAUUCUAUAUUUCAAAUUGUUUGUCAUAAUAUUCACGACAUGUACUUAAAAAAUAUUCGUAACAUUUAAUUAGCGAUCUUCAUAAACAUUGAAAUUUGGACGAAGUCCUUUGGUGCGUAGCGCGAAUUACCUGUUAUUAACAUGUUUUUCCGUACUUAUCGUCAAGUACUUUCGAAUUAAACCUUUCGUUCUUAUCGAAAUCACGAAACGAUAUAUAACAAAAGAAUAUUACUCUUCUGAUUUUCUGGCUUAUUAGUCCAGGGAACUAUGUUUCACUAGAAGUUUCUGUUUCACUAGAAGUGAGUUCAGCUUCCAAAAUAUCUCCUCAGUUUUAUGAUUACUUGUUUACUCCAUCAAAUAUCGCUGCAUCGUACGAGGCGUACUCGCGUACCAUUGCAGACAAGUCCUUAUCACUCUCUUUAAGUGGUUCAGAGAAGCUCUCAGAUCGUUGUGAGUGUACUUCUUUUCCGUAAAAUCGAUUGAUAUUCUUUUCAUAUAACUUGGUAAUUUGACCAUUUCUUGACUAACUAUCUGAGUGGUUCUCUCGGAGAGGAAACACGGGAAAGAGAAGAAGGUAAUAUUGGGAAACCAUAAAUGUGACGAAAGAUUUGCUCCGAAUACAUUUUUUAUUGCUGUGCAGUAGCGAAGAUACCAUCUUCCAUAACUUGAGCAAUAUGCAUUUGUUUACAAGAAAGUAAGGUAAUAUUUGGAGAAAAUGUUUUCAAGGAAUAUGAUAGUAGAUAUAAAUUCCGAAGAAAAAAUUUUUUUACGACGGAAUAUUUUACAAUAAGAAUUGCAUAGUAUUUAAAUAGUACGAAAAUUGAUAGUGUUAUCAUUAGUAUCUAAUAAUAUCAGAAUCAACAUUUCUUCUGUUUUUAAUUAUAUUGAAUGAUUAUUUAAAUUGACUGAGUGACCUAAACGUUGAUUUCAUAUUUCAUAUAUAGUUUAAAUCUAUUUCGAUUUUAAAGUAUUUCACAUAUAUUUUUAGGUAUUUAACACUAUUAUGUCGAGAAACGGUGAAUGUUUUAAUCGUUGCAGCAGCUUUAAUUCUUUUGCAAUAUAAACCUCCCUCCGUUCCAUUUCGAUUCCCCUUUGAACAAGGUCCCGCUUGCAACAUCGGACGGCCCUUCGAGAAAUCUCUCCGAGCACAAUCGAUUGUAUCCCCUAGCUAAAACCCACUUCGAUCCUUUGAGAAGGGGAUAUUCCGUCUCUUCACAUAACCAUUUGAAUGAACGAUUCGAAAACAGCGCUAUAUUAAUCUCGUCAAUGUUCGUAGUCACUGCCUCUAUAAAUUUUUUCUUUCUCUUCCUGCUUUAUUUUAGUCACUUAAUGAACAGCAUACGGAUCUUUACGGAUACGUUAAGGACAAGGACGAUUUUUCGAAACGAGAUAUUGGGACUUUAAAUCUAACACGUUGCUUUAUAGCAUCUUCAGGAAGCAUUAAAAAGUUUCGAGAGACGUUGAUAAUCUUAGAAAGUACGACAUUGUGUUAUUAGAAAAAGAAAUAAGUAAACGGGUGUAUUUCGACAUCACGAAACAGUAUACACCAAAAGAAUAUUACACUUCUGAUUUUCUGACUUAUUAGUUCUGGGAUCUUUCUAAAAUUAUAAUAUCUGUAAACAAAGAAAUAUGACGAACGAUUUUCUCCUCAUACGACAGCAGAUUUUACAAUAAGAAUUUUCAUAAUAUGAAAAUUGUAAUAUCAUUAAUAUCUAAUAACAUUAGAAAACUAUUUUUAAGUAUAAGUUGGACUUGCCAAGGAAGUAACAUUACGAAUUUCGUGUAUGAAUUUUAGUUUUAAAACCGACUAAUAUUCUUUUCAUAUUACUUGAUAAUUGGACCAUUCCUCGAUUAACUAACUGAGUGGUUCUCUCGGCGGGGAAAUACGGGAAAGAGAAGAAGGUAAUAUUAGGACACCAUAAAUGUGACGAAAGAUUUUCUCCGAAUACAUGUUUUUUAUUAUUAUGGAAUAGCGAAAAUGCUAUCUUCGAUAACUUGAGCAGCAUGUAUUUGUUAACAAGAAAAGAAGGCAUAAUAAAACAAAUCAAAAAAUCAUCCAAUUACGAAGUUAUAUGAAAAGAAUAUCAGUCGAUUGUACGAAAGAGAAGAUGGGAAGUGCUUUCACGACAAUCUGAGCCCUUCUCUGAUCCGCUUAAGGAGGGUUGUAAGAAGAACUUGUAUACAUAGUGAAACUUGAUGAAGAAAACAACCGAUCCUAAUUCUGAUGAAAGAGAUUUUCAAAGCUGCAAUCAGUUCAUAUUGAUGCUUCGAGUAGUAUAAAUAGAUCCCUUGACUAAAUUGUCAAAAAAACAGGAAAUUAUUAUGUUAUUGUUAUGUAUCAUUCCGGUGAUUUCGUAAAACGCAAUUAUCUCCAUUUCAUUUAUUUAUCCAUUCCUUUUUUUUUUAUUACGAAGACGAUAGUGUCCAAAUAAGCACAAGUCUCGUGAUAUAAGAUAUAAGUAGGGAAAGAGAAUUGCAGAAAAGCAUUGAUAAAGCCACGUUAGAAAAAAUAAAUAUUAAUCCGGAAGAAAACGAUAGAAUUGCUUCAAAACUAAUCAUAGAUCUCGUAGAAAAUAAUAAGGGAUAAAAUAAAAAAAAAAUUACCAUCUAAGGUAGUGUCGAUUUAAAAUUAUUUGCAACAUUGUGACAUAAUAUCUCAUCCAUUUAUGAAAAAUAUAUAUAUGAAAUAAGACGUAUAAUAUACAUGAAAUAAUAUAUAUAAAAGUAAUAAUAUAAAAAUAAUAUAAUAAUAUAAAAUAAUAAUAAUAUAUAUGAAAAAGGAGAUAGAAAAUAGACGGAAGACAAAUUGUGAUUUAAUUCUUGGAUUUAUUGUAUCCUUUAAAAGGAAGUACAAUGUGUUUAUUGUAUCGUCAUUUAAUCAUAUUCCUUAGAGUUACAGAAGGGAAAAGCCCAGAAUAAUAUAUUAGCCACCAACUAGGCUGGGUAAUGAAUUUUAUAUCAUCUAUAUCGUUUGAAACAACAUACCCUCGAUAAUAUAAACGUCGGAACUUUAAAAGUUUGCUUCGCGGAAAUUUGGAUAAAUAAAUUUUUUGUCAUACGUUCGGCCUGAUGCGUUCAUGGGUGCAAUUUUGAUUACUCUUUAACACGGCAGAGGGAUUCUAUAUAUAUACACACAAAUACAUACAUUUAUAUCUAUGUACAUAUUCAUAUAUAUCUUACUAUAUACUAAAAUCUAAUACAUAUAUAUAUAUAUAUAUAUAUAUGUAUGUAUAUAUAUAUACAUUUAUUCACACAUUUGUCUACACGUUGAUAUAGUGAACAUCUCUAAGCAGAUAAAUGAAAAUGGUAUUAAAGAGAUACUUGACAAAUAAAUUGAAAUAAUAAAAAUGAUGUCAUUAAGAAAGAAGUAAAGAGAUGUUUGUCGGUAAAAUGAACCAACUGAUACCGAUUUCAUAGUUUCAUAUAUCUUUGCAAGACAGAUAAAUGUAAACUCCACCGUUGAAAAAUGUUUGCAUUUCAUUUAGUUUCAAAAAAAAAUUAUUUAUUAUUAUUUAAUUUAUUAUUUACGAGAAAAUCAAACAAUCCAUUCGUAAAUAAUACUAUGGAAAAGUAAUAUAAUAAAUAAGUAAAUGAAAAUAAUUGAAUUUAUGACAAAAUAAGAAUAAACACAAAAUGGUCUACCUGAAUUGCUUCAAAACAUAUCGUGGAUAUCGUGGAAAAUGAUAUGGAAUAGACUUUUGAUUUCUUUUGCAAGAAAUUUGUUCCUCGAUGUAUAUAAAUUCCUAUAAAUCAAAUACCAUUAUACAAUAUGUUAUAAUAUACACGACGUUUGUGCGACGAAACGCCACCGUGUUGCUGAUAAUUAACGUUCGAAUGGGCACCGAGUAAGACCGGUAAAUACGGAAAAAUAUCGAAAUUUAAAUCAUUCGGUGCUUUUCAUGCGUCUACUCAACGAAAAAAGAAUUUGUAUCAUUCUCCUUGCUCUUCGAUAAAUCGAAUAAUAUUAUUACUAUAGUAACGAUUAUAGCAUUUCAACCUAUCUCCUUAAAAAUAAUGUAUAAUCGACAGAUGAAUUGUUUUCAUGAUCGUAAUAUUGAAACGAUAGUAUAUUCGCUUUAAUGUUGCGGAUACUGAAAGCCGAGAGGAACUAAAGAUAAUUUAAGCUAAAAUUUCAAUAAUUUGUGAUUUUGAUCUCUGCGUGAAUGCAUCUGAGUUACGUCACUGCGGGUAAUGUCAAGAAAAACGAAUUUUUGACUGGCUUUGACGAUUGCCGUCUUUUUAUAAAGGUGAAUACUUCAAACUUAAUACUUCAGAUAUUUGUAAAUUUAUUAAAACUAUAUACAUGUACGAGUAGUUAAAUAAACCACUGUUUAAGCAAUAGUAAA